rnacentral:rRNA from 1 species
UGCCUUGAAGAUCGGAGUGCUUGCACUCUGUGAAACAAGAUACAGGCUAGCGGCGGACGGGUGAGUAACACGUGGGUAACCUGCCCAAGAGAUCGGGAUAACACCUGGAAACAGAUGCUAAUACCGGAUAACAACAGAUGAUGCCUAUCAACUGUUUAAAAGAUGGUUCUGCUAUCACUCUUGGAUGGACCUGCGGUGCAUUAGCUAGUUGGUAGGGUAACGGCCUACCAAGGCGAUGAUGCAUAGCCGAGUUGAGAGACUGAUCGGCCACAUUGGGGCUGAGACACGGCCCAAACUCCUACGGGAGGCAGCUGUAGGGAAUCUUCCACAAUGGACGCAAGUCUGAUGGAGCAACGCCGCGUGAGUGAAGAAGGGUUUCGGCUCGUAAAGCUCUGUUGUUGGUGAAGAAGGACAGGGGUAGUAACUGACCUUUGUUUGACGGUAAU